GACGAACGCUGGCGGCGUGCCUAAUACAUGCAAGUCGAACGCAGUGGGGACGGGUGAGUAACACGUGGGUAACCUCCCAUCAGAGGGGAUAACACUUGGACACAGGUGCUAAACCGAUAAGGAUGGUGGGCCCCGCGGUGCAUUAGCUAGUUGGUGAGGUAACGGCUCACCAAGGCCACGAUGCAUAGCGGAGCGGAGAGGGUGAUCGGCCACACUGGGACUGAGACACGGCCCAGACUCCUACGGGAGGCAGCAGUAGGGAAUCUUCGGAAAUGGACGAAAGUCUGACCGAGCAACGUCGCGUGAGUGAAGAAGGUUUUCGGAUCGUAAAACACUGUUGUUAGAGAAGCGGUAUCUAACCAGAAAGCCACGGCUAACUACGUGCCAGCAGCCGCGGUAAUAC
rnacentral:rRNA from 1 species